UAUAGCUUUUAAAGCGCUGAAGUAUUUUAUAUUUAGUUUCAUUAGAGAGAACGGAGUUCACAUAUAAAUCUUGGUUAAAAUAAUACAUUAUAUGUGUUUCAUGUACAUGCUUAAGUAGAUGAUUGUCAGGUUAGUGUCUAAUUUUAUGACAGUUGGUGGACAGAGUCAGAUGGCAGCAAAUGUAAAAGGUGCUGUUAUGAGUUGAUAUACGCAAUAUACGUGUGCCAUGUUGUCGAAUUAAAGUUGUUGGCGGAGAAAGAUUAGAUAUCAUUUGUCAACCAAAAAUAAAUUUCGUAGUCGCAUUUAAUUUAAUGAGCUAUUGCUUUAUUAUUAUUGAUAUUGUAGACACUCUCAUACAACCAAAAUGCCUAAUUUAUCCAAUUUAUCACAUUUUCCUUUGAAGGUCAUAUUCACGAUUCAUCUGAUACUUGUAACAUGGAGUAUUCAGGGAGGUUGGUGUCCCAAAUCUGUAAUGUUCUACAAUUUGUUAUUCUUUGUUUGUAUAUUAUGGGCUGUUCACAAUACAGAAUCAGAUGAACCACUCCAAUUUGCUCUUUUCAUAAAUGUGCUUUCUAUGUUCUUCGAUGUGAUCACUUUAUCAGUGUAUUAUCCAUCAAGUGGUGCAUUUAACACAUUUAGUGCAGCUUUUUCGAUCAUAAAUUUAAUUGUCCGCCCUAUCACAAGUAUAUAUCUGCUACGAAUAGGCCAAGGAAGAGGUGGUACUUUAGCUACAGUGUUUGCACCGAGUCCUGCCAUGGGUCAGUAAAUCACUGGAUACACAUCUACGCUUUGUAGUACACCAGUGCUUCUUCAAGAUAUGAUUUAUUAAUUGUCUAGGUUUCUGCGUACCCAGUUAUGUCUCAUCGAUGCUUUUGGCCUGAAUUUAUGUAGCAUGUUUUGGCCGGCAGGACUAUGAAGAAAUAUCUCAUCCUCUUCCACAGAACGCUGAUUUCGAUGGAGUCUAAGGUUGAAUAAGGCUUGUUUGAAGUAACGGUUCUAAAUAUCCGUACAAUAUACAUGUCUGUAACAUAAUAAUAGCAUUUUGUAAGAUUAUUUAUUAAUUACACGAAAUUUUAUAAUAUUACAUAUGGUAAAUGAGAGAUAAUAUUUUUAUUUAUCAGUGUGCAAUAUUUGUACUUUAGUUGAAUCUUGUUAUAUAUUUUAUAAAAAUUUUUGUACGUUACUGAGAAUUAUAUAUAAAAAUGUUAUAAGGGCAUAAGCUACUUUAAUCAACUGACAGCGAUGUUUGAAUCGUAUUGCUUCAGUUGUCUAUUUAGUCAUUUAGUCAAUUAAUAACUGAGCAUUAUGAUUCGAAUUACGAAUAAGUGUCCACAUAGCUCGCUGUGUAUGCGUACCUAACAUUAGUAAAAUAUUCAAAAUCUCUAUUCUGUACAAGUAUAUUUCCAUAUUGUCGACUUGUGAAUAAAAUAUUUUAUAGUAACUCACAUAUA